UCUGGUGCACAAACCAAAAUACACCAGAAAGAGUUAUUGCCCUUUGUAACACUCUCUUGUAUUGGAGAUAUGAACAGCCUUCAUUUGUUUUCAGUAUGGCAGGAGGUGGAAAUUGAGUUUUUAUUCAAUUUGUUCUUCAGAAGUUUAUCAAUAUCAGAUGCUCUUUGUUCACUUAAUUCACUACCACGAUCUUUAUCUUCAAUUGUGCUAAAGGAUUCCGGUUUAUUUCAUGGAAUACAAAUCCGUUUGAUCUUUGCCAUAGUCACCGGACUCUAGCAUCCAAUCGUCUACGUAUUCGUAGAAAAAGUAAAUGUUGUGGAAUUUAACGCUUUAUUGCAUCACAUCCGACUAAAAAAAAUGACCAGGGAAACAGAAGGCUGACAGACAUAUUCAUAGAAAAUAUGAAAAAGCCCUGCCUGUUGCCGUGUUGGAACUUGUAUUGACCAUCUUUGGGACAAGGGAAAUUAACAUAGAUUGUAAAUCUAAGAACUCUGGAUUGAAGAACUUGAAGAGCAGAAGAUGCAUUCCAUGACUCUUAUAUGAUAUAGAAGACAAAGAAGAGCUCUUGAGAAUGGAAAAAAAACUGCGAGUUUUACAGUCAAUGAACACGCCUCACGACACAAGUCCAUCCAUUCAGUAAACUAUUCUUCUAAGGAAACACCAUGACUUAGUUAAGAUCAAAUUUUCGUGUCAGAAGACUAAUGUAACUAAAACAUUGCAAAAUUAACCUGCAAGUGUCUUAUGUGAGCCUACUGAAUAAGGAUUCAUUACUGAACAGUUGAAGGAAAAUCACUAUUAUAAUGAUUUUUAAAAAAAGAUGAUUGUGUUGUUUGGAUAACAUUGUGAUCCAUGUUUGUUGAAUAAACAACUUU